UACAGAGGUGGCAAGCGUUGUUCGGAAUUACUGGGCGUAAAGCGUGCGCAGGCGGUUUUGUAAGACAGAGGUGAAAUCCCCGGGCUCAACCUGGGAACUGCCUUUGUGACUGCAAGGCUUGAGUGCGGCAGAGGGGGAUGGAAUUCCGCGUGUAGCAGUGAAAUGCGUAGAUAUGCGGAGGAACACCGAUGGCGAAGGCAAUCCCCUGGGCCUGCACUGACGCUCAUGCACGAAAGCGUGGGGAGCAAACAGG
rnacentral:rRNA from 1 species